UGAUUCUCAGUUUGUCUCUCCUGGAUCUGUUUUCCAGUUUGGUUCAUCCUACUUUUCAUGGAUUCUAACAGGUUUCUUUACCAGCCUUUGCUGUCUCUGACCAUUGACUCAUCUGACAUGAUUUUUAUAGGACAGUGUCCUACAGUUGUGUCCAGCCUCUAUUCAUGGUCCUUCCUUCUAUCAUCUCUACAUGUCUAAUAAAAAUCUCAAUUCAACAAUUCCCUUUCAUUUUAAGGGAAAAGCAUUAAUAUCUGGAGGAAUAAAACAGCAACAUAUAUAAUUUGUUGCCAAAGUUCCAUUUUAUAAUUGGAGCUAUUCUAAGUAUUUUUAAAGGAAGAAAAAAUUCCAAGAGGCAUAGGCAUUUAGACAUAACACGAGUAGUUAUGGAUCCCAUGCUUAACACAAUUAGAAGUAUAUUAUCCACCAAGAGGAACAUUAGGAGCACCUCAUCAUCCAUCAGGAACAUCUUUUUGAUUUGGACUCUCCACUGGACCUCCUUCAUGAUAGUAGACAUCUUUGGCAAGAAUAUAUCUCUAUGUUUCUUGCUUUGCUCAGUAUUAAUGACUGGAAGUUAAUUAAACAAAAUUAUCUCUGCUCUUAUAUCUUUCAAGGUAUUUUGCAUAAAUUAAAUGUAUAUAAGAGAGAAACUUUGUUAGAAGAGAGCUUUUAAUGUGACAUUUUCUCUGUUGAAUUAAAUGCAUUGUUAUAAUCAAUAAGUAAUUACAUCAUAACCUUGUUUAAUCAAUGUAUGAUGAUAAAGAUAUGGCCUAUUGUACAAUAUCACUUAUGAAAGUCUAUUUCCUAUAAAUAUGCUCCACCAAUGAUGGUCUCAAUGCACAUGCAGAGUAUGAUCAUAAAAUUUUUAUGGUGACAGGAAAGGAGGCCUAUAAGCCAAUAGUUUAAUUUUCUCUCAGUUGACCUUUAUUUUAGUAUUAAUAAAC